CCCAAACAGAAGCCAUGGAUUACAGGCAACAUUUGUACUGAGCUAAAGGGUAGAGCUGCCGCUUUCAAGGUGCAGGACUCUAAGCCAGAAGCCUACAAGAAAUCCCGCUAUGACCUGCGACGAACCAUCAAACAGGCAAAGCGUCAAUACAGGGCUAAGAUUGAAUCAUACUACACCGGCUCCGAUGCUCGUCUUAUGUGGCAGGACUUGCAAACUAUUACAGACUACAGAGGGAAGCACAGCAGCGAGCUGCCCAGUGACACAAGCCUACCAGACGAGCUAAAUCACUUCUAUGCUUGCUUCGAGGCAAGCAACCCUGAGGCAUGCAUGAGAGCAUCAGCUGUUCCGGACGACUGUGUGAUCACGCUCUCCGUAGCUGAUGUGAGUAAGACCUUUAAACAGGUCAACAUACACAAGGCUGCAGGGCCAGAUGGAUUUCCAGGACAUGUGCUCCAGGCAUGUGCUGACCAACUGGCAGGUGUGUUCACUGACAUUUUCAACAUCGAGUCUGUAAUACCAACAUGUUUCAAGCAGACCACCAUAGUCCCCGUGCCCAAGAACACAAAGGCAACCUGCUUCAAUGACUACAGACCCAUAGCACUCACGUCCAUAGCCAUGAAGUGCUUUGAAAGGUUGGUAAUGGCUCACAUCAACACCAUUAUCCCAGAAACCCUAGACCCACUCCAAUUUGCAUACCGCCCAAACAGAUCCACAGAUGAUGCAAUCUCUACUGCACUCCACACUGCCCUUUCCCACCUGAACAAAAGGAACACUUAUGUGAGAAUGCUAUUCAUUGACCACAGCUCAGCGUUCAACACCAUAGUACCCUCAAAGCUCAUCACUCAGCUAAGGAACCUGGGACUAAAUUCCUUCCUCUGCAACUCGAUCCUGGACUUCCUGACGGGCUUCCCCCAGGUGGUGAGGGUAGGUAGCAACACACCUGCCCCGCUGAUCCUCAACAGUGGAGCUCCCCAGGGGUGCGUGCUCAGUCCCCUCCUGUACUCCCUGUUCACCC
rnacentral:lncRNA from 1 species